rnacentral:rRNA from 1 species
GAUGAACGCUGGCGGCGUGCUUAACACAUGCAAGUCGAACGGAAAGGCCGAAGCUUGCUUCGGUACUCGAGUGGCGAACGGGUGAGUAACACGUGGGUGAUCUGCCCUGUACUUCGGGAUAGGCUUGGGAAACUGGGUCUAAUACCGGAUAUGACGAUCUCUUGGAUGGGGUUGUGGAAAGCUUUUGCGGUAUGGGAUGAGCUCGCGGCCUAUCAGCUUGUUGGUGGGGGAAUGGCCUACCAAGGCGUCGACGGGUAGCCGGCCUGAGAGGGGGUACGGCCACAUUGGGACUGAGAUACGGCCCAGACUCCUACGGGGGGCAGCAGUGGGGAAUAUUGCACAAUGGGCGCAAGCCUGAUGCAGCGACGCCGCGUGGGGGAUGACGGCCUUCGGGUUGUAAACUCCUUUCGCAAUCGACGAAGCCUUUUGGUGACGGUAGGUUGAGAAGAAGCACCGGCUAACUACGUG